CCUACGGGGGGCAGCAGUGGGGAAUAUUGCACAAUGGGGGAAACCCUGAUGCAGCGACGCCGCGUGAGGGAAGAAGGAAUUAGGGAUGGAAAGCUCUAUCAGCAGGGAAGAAAAUGACGGUACCUGAGCAAGAAGCCCCGGCUAACUCCGUGCCAGCAGCCGCGGUAAUACGUAGGGGGCAAGCGUUAUCCGGAUUUACUGGGUGUAAAGGGAGCGUAGACGGCAGUGCAAGUCUGGAGUGAAAGGCGGGGGCACAACCCCCGGACUGCUCUGGAAACUGUACGGCUGGAGUGCAGGAGAGGUAAGUGGAAUUCCUGGUGUAGCGGUGAAAUGCGUAGAUAUUAGGCGGAACACCAGUGGCGAAGGCGGCUUACUGGACUGUAACUGACGUUGAGGCUCGAAAGCGUGGGGAGCAAACAGGAUUAGAUACCCGUGUAGUC
rnacentral:rRNA from 1 species